rnacentral:rRNA from 1 species
UACGUAGGGAGCAAGCGUUGUCCGGAAUCAUUGGGCGUAAAGCGCGCGUAGGUGGCCUCAUAAGUCCGCUGUGAAAGUCAAAGGCUCAACCCUUUGAAAGCCGGUGGAUACUGUGAGGCUAGAGUACGGAAGAGGCGAGUGGAAUUCCUGGUGUAGCGGUGGAAUGCGCAGAUAUCAGGAGGAACACCUGCGGUGUAGACGGCUUCUGGACCAUUGUUGACGCUGAGACACGAAAGCGUGGGUAGCAAACAGG